GAUGAACGCUGGCGGCGUGCCUAAUACAUGCAAGUCGAGCGAACGGACGAGAAGCUUGCUUCUCUGAUGUUAGCGGCGCACGGGUGAGUAACACGUGGAUAACCUACCUAUAAGACUGGGAUAACUUCGAGAAACCGUAGCUAAUACCGUAUAAUAUUUUGAACCGCAUGGUUCAAAAGUGAGAGACGGUCUUGCUGUCACUUAUAGAUGGAUCCGCGCUGCAUUAGCUGGUUGGUAAGGUAACGGGUUACGAAGGCAAGGAUGCAUAGCCGAACUGAGAGGCUGAUCGCCCACCCGGGAGGUGAGCCGCGGUCAAGGCUACUAAGAGAGGCAGCAGUAGGGAACCUUCCGCAGUGGGCGAAAGCAUGACGGAGCAACGCCAAGUGAGUGAUGACGGUCUUCGGAUCGUAAAACUCUGUUAUUAGGGAAGAACAUAUGUGUAAGUAACUGUGCACAUCUUGACGGUAACUAAUCAGAAAGCCACGGCUAACUACGUG
rnacentral:rRNA from 1 species